GGAGUUGUGGCUCAGUGGCAGAGCACUUGCCUGGCAUGUGUGAGGCUCUGGGUUCCAUCCUCAGCACCA
rnacentral:tRNA from 1 species